GAUGAAGAACGUAGCGAAAUGCGAUAAGUAAUGUGAAUUGCAGAAUUCAGUGAAUCAUCGAAUCUUUGAACGCACAUUGCGCCCCUUGGUAUUCCAUGGGGCAUGCCUGUUCGAGCGUCAUUUGUACCUUCAAGCUCUGCUUGGUGUUGGGUGUUUGUCUCGCCUCUGCGUGUAGACUCGCCUCAAAACAAUUGGCAGCCGGCGUAUUGAUUUCGGAGCGCAGUACAUCUCGCGCUUUGCACUCAUAACGACGAAGUCCAAAAGUACAUUUUUACACUCUUGACCUCGGAUCAGGUAGGGAUACCCGCUGAACUUAAGCAUAUCAAUAAGCGGAGGA
rnacentral:misc_RNA from 1 species